GUGGGGAAUAUUGGACAAUGGGCGCAAGCCUGAUCCAGCCAUGCCGCGUGAGUGAUGAAGGUCUUAGGAUUGUAAAAUUCUUUCACCGGGGACGAUAAUGACGGUACCCGGAGAAGAAGCUCCGGCUAACUUCGUGCCAGCAGCCGCGGUAAUACGAAGGGGGCUAGCGUUGCUCGGAAUUACUGGGCGUAAAGGGCGCGUAGGCGGACAGCUUAGUCAGAGGUGAAAUCCCGGGGCUCAACCCCGGAACUGCCUUUGAUACUGGGUGUCUGGAGUAUGGAAGAGGUAAGUGGAAUUCCGAGUGUAGAGGUGAAAUUCGUAGAUAUUCGGAAGAACACCAGUGGCGAAGGCGGCUCACUGGACUGGUAUUGACGCUGAGGUGCGAAAGCGUGGGGAGCAAACAGGAUUAGAUACCCCUGUAGUCC
rnacentral:rRNA from 1 species